AAAAAUGAGAUUACUGUUAUUUACAAUAACAGAAACCCAGUUAAAUUGGGCAUUUUUA
rnacentral:tRNA from 1 species